rnacentral:rRNA from 1 species
UGAGGAAUAUUGCGCAAUGGGGGGAAACCCUGACGCAGCGACGCCGUGUGAGCGAUGAAGGCCUUCGGGUCGUAAAGCUCUGUCAGAGGGAAAGAAAGGGUCGGCGGAAUAAUACCCGCCGACAUUGACGGUACCCUCGGAGGAAGCACCGGCUAACUCCGUGCCAGCAGCCGCGGUAAUACGGAGGGUGCAAGUGUUAUUCGGAAUCACUGGGCGUAAAGAGCACGUAGGCGGAUAGGCAAGUCAGGUGUGAAAGCCCGGAGCUCAACUCCGGAAUUGCAUUUGAUACUGCUUGUCUUGAGUGAGGUAGAGGGGGGUUGGAAUUCCCGGUGUAGAGGUGAAAUUCGUAGAUAUCGGGAGGAACACCGAGAGGCGAAGGCGACCCCCUGGGCCUCUACUG